ACGUGGCUGGCUCAGUCAGUAGAGCAUGAGACUCUUGAUCUGAUCUCAGGGUUGUGAGUUCAAGUCUGAUGUUGGGUG
rnacentral:tRNA from 1 species